rnacentral:tRNA from 1 species
AAGAGUUUAGUUUAUUAAAACAUUAAUUUGUCAGAUUAAAAAUGCUUAAAAGUAUCUCUUU